rnacentral:rRNA from 1 species
CACGUAGGGUGCGAGCGUUGUCCGGAAUUAUUGGGCGUAAAGAGCUCGUAGGCGGUGUGUCGCGUCGGCCGUGAAAACCUGCAGCUUAACUGUGGGCUUGCGGUCGAUACGGGCAUCACUGGAGUUCGGCAGGGGAGACUGGAAUUCCUGGUGUAGCGGUGAAAUGCGCAGAUAUCAGGAGGAACACCGGUGGCGAAGGCGGGUCUCUGGGCAGUAACUGACGCUGGAGGAACGAAAGCGUGGGUAGCGAACAGG